GGUUUCGUGGUGUAGUUGGUUAUCACGUCAGUCUAACAACCUCGAGAGCUUCGCCUAUCAUCUGUUCCACUGAAGGUCUCCAGUUCAAACCUGGACGAAAUCA